UACAGAGGUGGCAAGCGUUGUUCGGAAUUACUGGGCGUAAAGGGCGCGUAGGCGGCCCACUAAGUCAGACGUGAAAUCCCCCGGCUUAACCUGGGAACUGCGUCUGAUACUGGAGGGCUUGAGUAUGGGAGAGGGAUGUAGAAUUCCAGGUGUAGCAGUGAAAUGCGUAGAGAUGUGGAGGAACACCGAUGGCGAAGGCAGCCCCCUGGGCUAACACUGACGCUCAUGCGCGAAAGCGUGGGGAGCAAACAGG
rnacentral:rRNA from 1 species